ACCAAGGGUUAGUUUUGGGCCUCAAGGCCCAAUGGACUUCGAACGUCAAGCCCAUUGACUUAAGUUGUAUGACAACUUAAUUCACAAAGGCCCAAAAGCCCAAUAAAACCCUUAUGGCCGGCCAUGUUAGAGAGAAUGGCUUUUUGGUUUUUUAGGUCACUUAUUUGAAGGGACUAUAUAAAGGACUUUAUAGCCUAAAUUCAUUAAGGGUUUCUUUU
rnacentral:lncRNA from 1 species